GUGCUUUACUUUAAUAACUUGACUUGACAGCACAUAUACUAAAGUUGGAAGGAUACAGAGAAGAUUAGCAUGGCCCUGCACAGGAGAUGACAUGCCAAAAUUGGUGAAGCAUUCCAUAUUUUU
rnacentral:snRNA from 1 species